UCGGUUGGUUCAUCAGAUCUGUCCUCCGUUGAUUAGUUUUUUUUGUUUUGCAGAUGCAGUUGAAGACCCAAGAUUGGAACGGCGCUAUUGUCACACCGAAAGUGUGUUCGAUGAAAUGCCUCCAACAUCCGGAGGUUUCUAGUUGUGAAAGUUUGUUGGCUAAGGUGUGUUCCUACUUCCUCCUGUAUACAUAGUUUAUUCCUGCAUUUUUUGGGGUGAUUAAUUCCUUUUUAAAGGAACGUGGGUAAUAAAUUCUCUCUAAUCUUUUAGCUCCGAUUCAAUCUCGUAUCUAGUUCUAGACGAACUGCUUUACAACGAACCCUGCCUCUAACUCUGGGAUGAUUUCUUCUGCAGAUGCGGGCGAUAAACUGAAGCUGUGGGUACUAUGUUUUCUGAAAUGUAAGCCCAUCAAUAGUGCGUACUGGUUCGACCAAUCUUGCUGAACUCCAUUGAAUUAUGUUUGAUUAUUAGUUGCCAUUCCUGUUUCCACAUUGCCUUUAGGUUGAGGUCUAGUUUGCCAAGAGUUUUUAAUGUAUCUGACUUCCCAAUAUCCAGCAAGUUAGUCAUAUGAUGCUGCGACUUCAUCAUGGUAUCCAUGUUUGCCGAGCAUCUUGAAGAAAAAGAAUAAUAUCAUAUCUGACCCCUUCAUUCUUCCAUCUCUUCUUUAUGAGUUGAACUGAAAGUGCCAUUACCCAACUACGCAGAAGCACAACCUCCAAACAGAACAGCUAAUAUUUCACUAAGAUAGGGC
rnacentral:lncRNA from 1 species